GGCAACUGGAAACCCCUUGACUGUGCAGCUGGGGAGAUGUCGGCCCCUCUCUGUCAUACCCUACAGGGACAUCCCGGGCUCUCGUACUGAGGUUAUGAAAAGUCUGUGCAGUUGGGGGGCUGUCGGCCCCUCUCUGCUAUCCCCUACAGGGACACCCUGGGCUCUCGUACUGAGGUUAUGAAAAGUCUGCGCAGUUGGGGGGCUGUCGGCCCCUCUCUGCUGUCCCCUACAGGGACACCCUGGGCUCUCGUACUGAAGUUAUGAAAAGUCUG
rnacentral:lncRNA from 1 species